GAGGAAUGUAUAGCAAUAGCUACUUGUAUCAUUAAUGAUGCAAGCUCGACUAUGUUGAAUAAAAUUCUAGGUAGAAUUAUGAUAAUGACAUUGUCUGCCUAUGUGUCUUGACCAAAUUACGUGCCAGCAGUCGCGGUAAUACGUAGAAGACUAGUGUUAUUCAUGUUUAAUCGGUUUAAAGGGUACCUAGACGGUGAAUCAAGCUUUAAAAGAAUAAAAGGGACUAAUUCGCUAGAGUUACUUACGAGGGGGCUUUAAAGUACUGCUGGUGUAGAGAUGAAAUUCUGUCAUACCUCUUUUCGAAAGAAGAAUAACGGCACAGGUAUAGGCGAAGGCAUCCCCUUAUGUGAUAACUGACGUUGAGGGACGAAGGCUUCAUGUAACAAACAGGAUUAGAUACCCUAGUAGUUGAAAGCAGAAAAUGAUGAAUGUCAUAGAUUAGACGUCUAAGUUUAUUCUAUAAAUGAAAGUGUAAGCAUUCCACCUCAUGAGUAAUUUGGCAACAUUGGAAUUGAAAUCAUUAGACCGUUUCUGAAACCAG
rnacentral:rRNA from 1 species